rnacentral:lncRNA from 1 species
AGGAGGUUGGAGGAUCUAAUCGAAGACGAUUUGGAGGCGAUUGAGGACAUGGAGAUGGUAGAGAGAUAUGUGAAAAUAGGGAUAUGGUGCAUACAAGAAGAAUCAGGAUUGAGACCUAACAUGAGAAAUAUUACACAGAUGCUUGAAGGUGUGACUCAAGUUCGUGAUCCUCCAAACCCUUGUCCUUAUAGUGUAUUGUCUUGUGAUGAGUAUCUGUCUUGUGGUCCAGUGUAAUGGGUGUAAAGGAAAAAUGUGUACCGUAAAGGAAAAAUGUGUACCGUAAAGGGAAAAUGUGAAUCACAAAAAUGAGUUACAUUUCAAAGUGGUGAUGAAGUUGCCGUGGCUGUCAAGAAACUAGACCGUGUUGCUCAAGAAAACGAGAAAGAGUUCAAGAAUGAGGUUAGAGUGAUUGGUCAGAUCCAUCACAAGAAUCUAGUGAGGCUGAUUGGCUUCUCCAACGAAGGACAUAGCCGUUUGAUAGUCUAUGAGUUCAUACCACACGGGACACUAGCCGAUUUUCUCUUCAGGCGUCCGAGACCGAGCUGGGAAGAUAGGAAGAGAAUCGCUGUUGGGAUUGCUCGCGGAAUAUUGUAUUUACAUGAAGAUUGUAAAGAGCAAAUCAUACAUUGCGACAUAAAACCACAGAACAUACUUCUAGAUGCGUCUUACAACCCUAGAAUCUCGGAUUUUGGUCUAGCAAAGCUUCUGAUGAUGAACCAAACGCAUACGCUCACCAACAUCCGCGGAACAAAAGGGUAUGUUGCACCUGAGUGGUUCAGGAACAGUCCCAUUACAUCCAAAGUAGAUGUCUAUAGCUACGGAGUCAUGCUUUUAGAAAUCGUGUGCUGCAAGAAAGCCGUCGAUCUUGAUGAAAGCGUGAUUCUCAUCGAUUGGGCUUACGAUUGUUUCCGAGACAGGAGGUUGGAGGAUCUAAUCGAAGACGAUUUGGAGGCGAUUGAGGACAUGGAGAUGGUAGAGAGAUAUGUGAAAAUAGGGAUAUGGUGCAUACAAGAAGAAUCAGGAUUGAGACCUAACAUGAGAAAUAUUACACAGAUGCUUGAAGGUGUGACUCAAGUUCGUGAUCCUCCAAACCCUUGUCCUUAUAGUGUAUUGUCUUGUGAUGAGUAUCUGUCUUGUGGUCCAGUGUAAUGGGUG